ACUAAAAUAAUUUAAUUUAAAAAUGUUGAUUUUGUAAAUCAAUUUUGGGUUACCUUUUAGUU
rnacentral:tRNA from 1 species